GAAACAAUGAUGUCAUGGGUUCAAGCGAGGAGAAUGACGCCACUGGGAAUGUUGAUGUCGAUGAGACCGUUGACGCAACCAGCCAUGCUCAAACAACACGAUAACAUCAGACUAUAGGUGGUCUUGAUAUGCUCUUUUGUGGACUUCUGUAUCCGGUAUGGCUUAGGAAUGAGAAUACAUGUGGUGGUAGUUGCAAGUUGGUGUAUUUUGCUAGUAUUGUUGUAGUUGGCAGGUCCUUUUGUGGUUGGUACUGUUGUAGCCUUGUAUAUAUAUGUAUGAAACUGAUGAUGAUAUAUAUGUAUGAAACUGAUGAUGAUAUAUGAAGUCUGAUAUUGUCACA
rnacentral:lncRNA from 1 species